CCAUGGAGGAAACUCUGAUGCUUGAUGCCGCGUGAGUGAAGAAGGCUUUGGGUUGUAAAGCUCUUUUGUAGGGGAAGAUAAUGACUGUACCCUAAGAAUAAGGUCCGGCUAACUUCGUGCCAGCAGCCGCGGUAAUACGAAGGGACCUAGCGUAGUUCGGAAUUACUGGGCGUAAAGCGCGCGUAGGCCGUUGAGUUAGUUAAUUGUGAAAUCCCAAAGCUUAACUUUGGAACUGCAAUUAAAACUGCUCGACUAGAGUUUGAUAGAGGAAAGCGGAAUACAUAGUGUAGAGGUGAAAUUCGUAGAUAUUAUGUAGAACACCAGUUGCGAAGGCGGCUUUCUGGGUCAACACUGACGCUGAGGCGCGAAAGUAUGGGUAGCAAAGAGGAUUAGAUACCCUCGUAGUCCAUACCAUAAACGAUGAUUGCUAGAUGUUGGAAAUUUAUUUUCAGUAUCGCAGCUAACGCAUUAAGCAAUCCGCCUGGGGAGUACGACCGCAAGGUUAAAACUCAAAUGAAUUGACGGGGACCCGCACAAGCGGUGGAGCAUGUGGUUUAAUUCGAAGAUACGCGCAGAACCUUACCAACCCUUGACAUGUCUGUCGCGAGUUCAGGAAACUAGACUUUUCGGUUCGGGCGGACA
rnacentral:rRNA from 1 species